GCCCAAGAGAUCGGGAUAACACCUGGAAACAGAUGCUAAUACCGGAUAACAACAGAUGAUGCCUAUCAACUGUUUAAAAGAUGGUUAUGCUAUCACUCUUGGAUGGACCUGCGGUGCAUUAGCUAGUUGGCAGGGUAACGGCCUACCAAGGCGAUGAUGCAUAGCCGAGUUGAGAGACUGAUCGGCCACAUUGGGACUGAGACACGGCCCAAACUCCUACGGGAGGCAGCAGCC
rnacentral:rRNA from 1 species